CCCUUAGAUGUUCUGGGCCGCACGCGUGCUACACUGAGUGGAUCAGCGGGUCAGGUUGCGCGAAAGUGUUUCCUAAUCUUUAAAUCCACUCGUGAUGGGGAUUGACGGUUGCAAUUUUCCGUCAUGAACGAGGAAUACCUUGUAAGCGCGGGUCAUCAUCCCGCGCUGAAUACGUCCCUGCCCUUUGUACACACCGCCCGUCGCUCCUACCGAUUGAGUGGUCCGGUGAGGCUUUGGGAUCUGAGUGGAAAGAGCGUUUCGCUGUUUCUGCCCGGAAAACUCAGUCGAACCUUAUCAUUUAGAGGAAGGAGAAGUCGUAACA
rnacentral:rRNA from 1 species